CGAGUUGACCAGACAAUCGCUGGCUAGUUUACGUAAGUAUUUCUAGCGGGAGGAAAGUCCGGGCUCCAAUGAGCAGGGUGCCAGGUAACGCCUGGGCGGCGUGAGCCGACGACAAGUGCAACAGAGAGAAGACCGCCGAUGACCUAAUUACUUUAUUUAUAAGGUAAAGAGGCACAGGUAAGGCUGAAAGGGUGCGGUAAGAGCGCACCGGGCCACUGGUAACAGUUGGCAGCAGGGUAAACUCCACCUGGAGCAAGACCAAAUAGGGUUUCAUGAUUAUUGUUACGCAAGUUACAAUGAUAUAAGCGUGGCUCGCGUGGAAACCGGGUAGGUUGCUUGAGCUAUAGAGCGAUUUAUAGCCUAGACGAAUGAUUGUCAUCUCAUUUACUUUUAGUAACUGAGCUACAAAACCCGGCUUAUGUGGUCAACUCAACUA
rnacentral:RNase_P_RNA from 2 species